ensembl:lincRNA
GAUGUGAAGACCUAUCUCCCAAGGACCCUUGUUGUGAGAACGACCGUUCCAGUCCCUGUGAAUGAAGCCCUCGUUCCCUUGUUCUUGUCCGGCACUUGGACACAGGAAAAGAAAAGCAACUGAUGCACCCUGGGAGGAAGAAGUCCAACUCUGCCUUAACACAGCCUCAGCUAUCUAAGGCUUCACAGCAUCGCCACGCACAACAAAAGAUUAGAGGCCAUGAAGAUCAAGCACCUUUACUGUCUUGCUUUCCUCAAAGAACUAUUAUUGUCACAAAACUACCAAGACUGUGAAGAGGGAAAGUGCUAGCCUGGAAUGCAAAUCUUAAGGA